UACAAAUAGGGUCUACGCGUCAAAAUGGUCGACUUCGUCAGAAUGAACGCUUAGAAAGUAUUUACAAAAAAACAUCAUCUCAAACGAUGUAAAGUGAACGCUACUUAUCUGUUUUGUAGAUAAGCAUACGAUCCAUUGGAAAACACUAACAUUUGACAUAAAAAAACGCCAGUGGAUAUGGAAAUCUUCAUCGUUUGAAAUAGCAGACGGCGUCGACCAAAGGCGAAAAGAACGCGAGAAAGUAUUAACAAAAUAACAUAAUUAAAAAUGAUGUCAAGUGAACGCUAAUUCGCUGUUUUGUAGAUAAGUAUACGAUCUAUUGAAAAACCAUAACAUUUGACAUAAAACACCCGUGGAUAUGCAAAUCUUCUGCGUACCAAAUAGCAGACAUCAUGCGGCGUCUAAUCUGAGUCUACGCUGUUUGCCAAGGCCGAUAGUAUAAUGAAUGGAAAUGCACAAACUCAGCAACUGGCAAGCAUAUAUGCAUUAGUAGAUUGUUUCGUGAUUAUUUAGAAACGACUACAUAAUUCUUUUGGUUCAGCCAGUGCAACUUAACAGAAAUAAGUAUAAUAGUUUCUACACCUGACAACAAUGUGCCAACUUUAUACAAGGUGACAACUACUGAACAGCUGAAGAUUAGUGCAAGAAUACUCAGUUGUUCUAGCUGUGUGGAUCUUAAGUGCAGGUGCUAUAUUCCCGAGGACACAUGCUUUACUGACCAUGCUAACGAGAUUGCUGUGAAUACUGAGGUCUCAGUCGGGGGUCCAUGUCCUGAAAAUUCUACAGAAGAUGUACCCAGUGAAAAGAGUCUUCUUAAGCCGGUUGAUGUUGUUGACGAGUCACAUGUUGGAAAGUACUGCAUGGUCCUCUACGUUUACGAUGGGCUAUCCUAUCCAGGGAUCAUUUUACCCGUUGACGAGGAUUACGUUGAAGUCAAAACCAUGAGUAGAGUUGGGCGAAAUACUUCAAAUAGGUGGUUCUGGCCUAUGAGAGAUGACGUACUGUGGUACGAUAGAAAGUCAAUCAUAACACUUCUUGAUGAAGAGCCAGUACACGUAACAAAGAGACACCUUAAAAUAAACGACGACAUUUGGGCUGCGGUUGAAAGUGCGCUAGAAUGAAUUUAACUGUUUAUAUUGUGCCAAACACUGCUAAAUUGAAUCGGACGCAAAUAAAUUGAUGUUUAAAGUUAAUUGUUUGAAAUCAACGUUCUGUUCAACUUUUGAGUUUUGUGUGAAUAGGAAGUUCUGCUUUACGUGUCGUUGGAGGAAGAUUUUUGAACUGUGAAAUCGAACAUAUGCAUCAGUACAUGUCAAAUUAACGGACUUAUAUCAGUGACAGCGUGAUUAUUUACCAUUGAAAAGUGUGAAAAUGUGGAAAUGUUGAAAUGUUUAUAUCUUAGUCGACUUUUAAUUAAGUUAGAAUUUACUUAUUAUUUCUGAGAAUAAAAUUUUGUGAAACGUG